UACGUAGGGUGCGAGCGUUGUCCGGAAUUAUUGGGCGUAAAGAGCUCGUAGGCGGUUUGUCGCGUCUGCCGUGAAAGUCCGGGGCUCAACUCCGGAUCUGCGGUGGGUACGGGCAGACUAGAGUGAUGUAGGGAGACUGAAUUCCUGGUGUAGGCGGUGAAAUGCGCAGAUAUCAGGAGGAACACCGGUGGCGGAAGGCGGGUCUCUGGCAGUAACUGACGCUGGAGGAGCGAAAGCG
rnacentral:rRNA from 1 species